GGGUUGGUCACGUGAUAAAAUUUGAUCAUGUACCAACCCGUAUUUAUAUCCCGAUAAAUAUUUUUAAAUGAUACCUUAUUACUUAUAUUUACAUUUUUGGUUGGUAACAUUGCUGAAUUGUGUUAACAACACGUUUCCAUACAUUUCAAAUUGUUGACGUCCACAACGAAGCGUCAUAGAUGUUCAAAAUGACGACAACACAAAACAAAGUUCUAUAAAAUGAAGAACUGUUUUAAUUAUUAAGACGCUAGAAAGCAAGUAUAUCAACAUAUACUUAUACAUUAACUCGGGAGUAUAUAAUAAAAACUCUUCCAUAUGUCUAAUUUUAGGGAGUGGGGGAAUUAUGAUUUAAACGGGGAUGCGCAGUGUUACACUUAGAGUUGUGAUGCGCUUUGACUUUUGAAAAGUGAAGACGUUGAAGACCGACUUUGAAAGAUAUUAUUCUGUGGAUAUUGCGGAGUUAACAGAAGACUGAGAUGGAGGAACAUGAAGAACAGGGCGGCAGUCGUCAGGUGUAGGCAAAUCUUUUAUAGACAGGACAGAGGACGCAGCUCAGAUGAAUCUCCGGAAAGAACUGAACAUCGCAGAGAAUGUGGAACUGCACGAAGGUUUUUAACGACGCCUCGCUUCGAUGUCCCGACAUAAACUUGGAAACCGACAUCAAGCACUAUGGCUGCUGUGGCACGGAAGCAGUGUGGUGUGUAGGUCUUAAUGCACUUUGACGACUUAUCGGCCAUACAUCCUGUGAAUGACCUUUUUGCUAAAGCCUAAUGUCAUCGUCUAGCAGUAGGUACAAUUCCGCAUCACCGAUGACCAGGGUGAAGUUGUAGCAGACGAAAUUUUAGACAUACAUUAGGCCUAGUAGGCUAGUAGAUAUCUAACUAAAGACAUUGUUUACAGAAAUGUUUUUAUCAAUUAUUGAUGAAAGUUCACUGCUUGGAAUACAAAUAAAACCGUAAAUACAUAUUGUGAUGUUGAUUUCAUCUAUUGAAAGAUUUCUGUAGUAAGUGAGAGCGAUUGCUAGAUGUGUAUUGCCUUAGUAAAAGUUGUACCUGUUACCUACUUUUAACAAAUGUUCAUACGCACAGCCCCCGUAGUAAAUUUAUCCAGAAAUAAAUACGUAUUGCUCGUAAUAGUGUUAUGUAGGAGAAAACAGUUGCAAAUGUAAAUAUAACGAAAUAUAUGAACGAAAAUAUAGUUUUAUUGUCUCUUUGGAAACCACAUAAUUAUUUAUGGUCUCUGUAUGUCCAUAUUUAUUGAUUGAACAGGUGAGAGAGAGAGAGAGCCCUACUUCCAUGUACAAUAUAUCAUUUCACAGAAGGAAAGAAGAUUGAUCACUGAUAUAAAUGUAAGCUUACAAGCAUUAAAAAUUUCCAGCUAUCUAAACUUUUUUGAUUGACAAUAUAUUGGAAACUUACAGGCGUUGAUGCUUUUAAUUGAAUUCAUUACAAAUUUAAAAAAAAAUAUAUUAGUUUGAACUGUGCAUGUAGAAAAUACUGACUUUGUAUGUUAGAAUAACGGAAAAAAGUAAAUUGUAAAAAAAAAAAAAAGGGGGGGGGGGAGAACAGACCAGCCUCUCUUGUCCACCCCAACCCCCUGUAUACGUGUCUGAAACAACAUAUCAAUUCGUGUUGAAAGAAAGAUGCAUAUCUGCAUUUCAUUAAAUUGCAAAGGAGCUCGAAUUGAUGUGUUCCCCUAUUAAUUAUUUUGUAUGCAAGAUUCGUUCCCGAAUUUAGAACCAUGCUUUCAGUUAGAGCAGAAAUGAAUUCAUUUUGAAGUACAUCUAGUUUGAAUGCAAAUGUGGGGUUCCUUCUUUUAAUUUCAUCAGACUCAUUAGAACCCCCUUCCCCAAACUAUGCAGCUUUAUUUUUAUUGAUAUCUAAAUCGGUAUAUGAAUCCGGAUAUAAAUUAUAUAAUGUGUUUUCGUGAUCAUAUAGAUAUAGGUACUAAUAAUGAAAAAGGAAAA